UCUGGGUCUCUGGAAUUGCCAGGUUGUUGUUCAGCCACCAUUAACUACAACAACUACCACAGUUGUGCAUAAACAAGGGGUCAACCACUGUCUCCACUGCUGCAUUAGCAUCUUCUGUUUCCCGUGGAUCAUUGUUUGGAUCUGUCUGUGCAUGGCCGAAGAUAACGAGACGACCCAGCGAUCUAUAGUGGUACAUCAGUAAUGCUUCUCAGAUACUCUAGGACCAACAUAACGCUAGACUGCAUGCUUUAAAAUAUAUUAAAUUUUAUAAUAAAAAAAAUUAGCACAUUAUUUUAUGAUUAUAAAUUGAUGACUUAUUAGUUCUCAUGGUGUGUGAACUAGAUUGUAUUGAAUUUUAUCAUGACACAUUUAAUUAAGUUUUAAAUGCAAGAAAAUGUUACUUUUACUGUGUAUAAAAGAUUGGGAAUCAUGGAUGAUAAAAGCACUAAUAUAUACUUGUUAUACUUAUAUCUAUUCAUACAAAAUGUAUUCCAGAACACGAACAAGUUUUCUAAGAUAUGUUAGUAAUUCCAAUUAUUUUGUCCAAAUUAAAAAUUAGGCCAUAAAAAUUAUGUAAAA
rnacentral:misc_RNA from 1 species